rnacentral:lncRNA from 1 species
AUGGUUGCAAAACACCAAUAUACAGAAUUAAAAAACUUAAUUGGGAUCUGGUGCUUCAUGCUUUCCCAAGUUUCUUUAGGAUUUUGUGCUUGCACAUUGGGACUCAAUGAGGAAGUAGUAAAUAUGAGUUUAUUUGGAUUUGUCUCUCUGUCUCAGCAAUGAACGUAUGAUUUGAGCAGCAAUUGCUUUUCGCAAAAAAUCAUUUCGACUGGAAUUACAUAAUACCAAAAAUUGUUCAUUUUUAGUCUUGUUCUUGCUCGUUGUUAGCGUGGAAAGUCCAAGAAUUUUCUCUUCCGAACGUCUGUAGACACUAUGAUUUAGCAUAAUCAAAAGCUCCGCGUGAAUCUGGAUGAAUCGCUAACCUUGAGAAUUGUUGGGUUACCUUUAAAAGAACUCUAACAUUGUGUUCUCCAAUUUUAUAAAAGAGACUCAACACAUUUGAAUCAGAGGAGGGGGCCUUAUUCGUUGCAAAUUCAAGUAUCAAGAAGUUAAUGGAAUCUGUGUGCUCCCAGCAUAAUCAACAAGUUGUCCUUUCAGGAUAUUAGGAUUAUCUCUCUAAUAAUUCCCUCAGUUGUUAUGUAGUGUCAGUGAUCGUAGUUCUUCUAAACUUAGCAAAUUCAGUAACCUAAGUUUCUUGUCAUUUUGCCAGCUAGUGAGCUGUAUCUUAACUGUUACUAUUCCUGAGAAUAGCAGUACAACACAUGCUUUGUCUGUUCUGCAUCUAGGACUGUUCUAUGAUUGUUAACUUCAUGCGUAGUUCUAGUAAUAUCAACUGCAUUUUAUUUAUUAAGUAAAGUGUAAUUAAUUUCAGUUUUUGAUUAAAGUAUUGUUUUACUUUUGAUAUGUUUCCUUUUUUUGUAAAUACAUCAUGCAUCUUAUUAUUAAAUUUUCUUUUUUUAAAAACGAUUCCUCUGUUUCUUCUUCAUCCUCUAUCUAAUUUUCAAAUCAGAUAAAUUUUACUGCAAGAUUGGCUCUCAAUUUUCUGUCAAGCUUUUUAAUCUUUU